rnacentral:rRNA from 1 species
GACGAACGCUGGCGGCGUGCUUAACACAUGCAAGUCGAACGGAAAGGCCCUGCUUGCAGGGUACUUGAGUGGCGAACGGGUGAGUAACACGUGGGUGAUCUGCCCUGCACUUCGGGAUAAGCCUGGGAAACUGGGUCUAAUACCGGAUAGGAGCCAUUUUUAGUGUGAUGGUUGGAAAGUUUUUUCGGUGUAGGAUGAGCUCGCGGCCUAUCAGCUUGUUGGUGGGGUAAUGGCCUACCAAGGCGGCGACGGGUAGCCGGCCUGAGAGGGUGGACGGCCACAUUGGGACUGAGAGACGGCCCAGACUCCUACGGGAGGCAGCAGUGGGGAAUAUUGCACAAUGGGCGCAAGCCUGAUGCAGCGACGCCGCGUGGGGGAUGACGGCCUUCGGGUUGUAAACUCCUUUCGCUAGGGACGAAGCUUUUUGUGACGGUACCUAGAGAAGAAGCACCGGCUAACUACGUG